CAGAAGCAGCUUUCAAUAGUUUUUUAAGCACAUAUGGGAAUUUCUUUGACCAGGUGCAAUUAAAAAACAAACUCAUUGUAUUUUAUUCAAGUGAAGAGUUCAGAGGGAAGACUUUGAGUGAGCUUUGUAAGAUGUUUCUGUCAGCCAGAAGAGACUUUCUCAUUUGGGUAUCAUUUCAAUGGAAUCCGAGUUGCUAGUCGAAUUGGAAAACAAAGAGACAUUUUUAAAGUAUUUGCUGCUCAAGAAAGAAGAAUGGAUUUUAACUUUUGCUAAUCCCCAAGUUUUUCAAUUUUUUCAAUUCAAUUCUUAUACAAGGAAAUCUUCAAUUAUUAUCACUUUAUCACAUUGUAUUAUACAAUGUGUUGAAAAUUUGGUGUUAUAAAUUAUCUUAAGAUUCUAAAGUUUCCGGACGUGGAUAAGUGAUUUUAGUGUUUUAUUUUGUGUUUUUUAAUCAGAAGAUUUUUCCAAUUGAAAUUCAUGUGAAAUUAAGAAUAAGUAUGGUAUCGCAGUUUUCCAUCAUGGGAGAUUGUGGUUAUGUUGGCGGAGUGGAACUGCCUAUACGGGACUCCCCACAAUCCAAGCCAUAUGCUAACAACAACAUUGUAUUAUAUAUUUCCAUUUACAAUAAUCAAGUGCAUAAUUGAAUACAUAACUCAAUGGAAUAGACUUGACUACAUACUUGAUCAACUUUGGUGAGUUUUUUUCCAAUUAUAUAUUAUUCUUAGAUAUAUCUCUUGAUAAUAAUAAAUUGUAAUGCAGAGUUUUUAUGUUAUUUCAAGUUUGGAAGGAAAUCUCUUGUCAGUCUACAGUGAGAUUAUGCUUCAAUAGAAAAGAGAAUGAGUAAAAGGAAAUAUUACAUGCAUGGUCAAGGAAAAUUACCCCCAACAAACAAACCACAACCACCUCCCUCCCCCUGCCCCACCAACAAAUUAGUGCUUCACUAACUUUUUACAGCACCGAUCGCCUCUGCUACUUUCUUAUGUUGAAACCUUAUUCAGUUUCAAUUAUUCAACUCCUGGCCCUAGCGCCUAUAAUUUGUUAUGGUGAAACAAUUGGGUUCAAAUUUAUCA